rnacentral:rRNA from 1 species
AUUGAACGCUGGCGGCAUGCUUUACACAUGCAAGUCGAACGGUAACAGGCCGCAAGGUGCUGACGAGUGGCGAACGGGUGAGUAAUGCAUCGGAACGUGCCCAGUCGUGGGGGAUAACGCAGCGAAAGCUGCGCUAAUACCGCAUACGAUCUGUGGAUGAAGGCGGGGGACCGAAAGGCCUCGCGCGAUUGGAGCGGCCGAUGUCAGAUUAGGUAGUUGGUGGGGUAAAGGCCCACCAAGCCAACGAUCUGUAGCUGGUCUGAGAGGACGACCAGCCACACUGGGACUGAGACACGUCCCAGACUCCUACGGGAGGCAGCAGUGGGGAAUUUUGGACAAUGGGCGAAAGCCUGAUCCAGCAAUGCCGCGUGCAGGAAGAAGGCCUUCGGGUUGUAAACUGCUUUUGUACGGAACGAAACGGUCCGGGUUAAUACCCUGGGCUAAUGACGGUACCGUAAGAAUAAGCACCGGCUAACUACGUGCCAGCAGCCGCCGUAAAAC